GGGAGGCUAGGGCGAGAAACUGGGCUAGGACCCCUAGAGAGAGAGCUUCAGAGGGUCACCACCGGCCUCCCCGGACCCCACACACAUCCUCCAGGAGAUUUGAGAAAAGACUCUCCUCCAGCAGGAGAAGGGUUCAGGAUUGGGAGGGGGGAGUACAGAAGACAGGAAACCUGGGACCCUUAGCGAGAAGCAGGCAGCAAAGGGGGCGCGCAAAGUGCUGGUGAAGAGAGGCUAGAAGGCUGAGGGUGUCCGAAGGAGAGGUGGCCGCUCAGGGGCCCUGAGAAGCAGCAGCGACUCCGCCGCCUUGCGUGGACAUCGGGGCUGCAGGCACCCUGACGCUGGGCAAGGUGAUGCUUCUGACCCUUCUGACCCUGAACUGGAAGUAGAUGAGCCAAAGGAGGAAAUGGAAGAAGGGCCCUGGAGAUUCAUCUUGGAAGCCUGCCCCCCAACUGGAUUCUGCUGGAGGUCAUUCACAAGUGUUAACUCUUAUAUGAACUAUGACUAAGAAAUUGAUACGGGGAAAUCAGCAUUUAGGGGAAGAUCAGCGUGUGUAGUUCUGAUGUUAUGGGAGGAACAGGCUAUCUAGUCUCAGACUGGCAGGGGCUGAGCAUUCUCGGCUCCUUGCCGCAUUUGACGUCAUCGGCUUAUUGGCAGAUACCCCGAAAGAGUAGCAGAGUCCAGUUUAAAGAUGCGCUUCCUGAGAUUCGGCCAAGGACUUGGGCUCUGGGAUAGGAUGGUUGUAUUUAAAGCCAUUUAGUUCUGUACAAGAUGGUUGUAAAGAUGGGGGGGGGCGUGAGUCAGGGUUCUCAUAUUUGUUUCCGAUGCGUCUCAUAUAUUAAAUUCCUCUGUUAUCUACUCGGAUAACCCAUGAGUGUGUAUUAUCUUUAUAUUUACUGCUAAGGUUGAAGGAAAAGAGAAAAUU